rnacentral:piRNA from 1 species
UGGGGAGCCUCACGCUGUAAUGUUACUG